CACCUUUGCCACCAAGUAGGUAUGAUAAAAAACCACUAACUCUGCGCCUUUCCCACCAUUGCCACGGUUGCCACGGUUGCCACCGUUGCCACCAUUGCCACCAUUGCCACCAAGUAGGUAUGAUAAAAAACCACUAACUCUGCGCCUUUCCCACCAUUGCCACGGUUGCCAUCGUUGCCACCAAGUAGGUAUGAUAAAAAACCACUAACUCUGCGCCUUUCCCACCAUUGCCACGGUUGCCAUCGUUGCCACCAAGUAGGUAUGAUAAAAAACCACUAACUCUGCGCCUUUCCCACCAUUGCCACGGUUGCCAUCGUUGCCACCAAGUAGGUAUGAUAAAAAACCACUAACUCUGCGCCUUUCCCACCAUUGCCACGGUUGCCAUCGUUGCCACCAAGUAGGUAUGAUAAAAAACCACUAACUCUGCGCCUUUCCCACCAUUGCCACGGUUGCCAUCGUUGCCACCAAGUAGGUAUGAUAAAAAACCACUAACUCUGCGCCUUUCCCACCAUUGCCACGGUUGCCAUCGUUGCCACCAAGUAGGUAUGAUAAAAAACCACUAACUCUGCGCCUUUCCCACCAUUGCCACGGUUGCCAUCGUUGCCACCAAGUAGGUAUGAUAAAAAACCACUAACUCUGCGCCUUUCCCACCAUUGCCACGGUUGCCAUCGUUGCCACCAAGUAGGUAUGAUAAAAAACCACUAACUCUGCGCCUUUCCCACCAUUGCCACGGUUGCCAUCGUUGCCACCAAGUAGGUAUGAUAAAAAACCACUAACUCUGCGCCUUUCCCACCAUUGCCACGGUUGCCAUCGUUGCCACCAAGUAGGUAUGAUAAAAAACCACUAACUCUGCGCCUUUCCCACCAUUGCCACGGUUGCCAUCGUUGCCACCAAGUAGGUAUGAUAAAAAACCACUAACUCUGCGCCUUUCCCACCAUUGCCACGGUUGCCAUCGUUGCCACCAAGUAGGUAUGAUAAAAAACCACUAACUCUGCGCCUUUCCCACCAUUGCCACGGUUGCCAUCGUUGCCACCAAGUAGGUAUGAUAAAAAACCACUAACUCUGCGCCUUUCCCACCAUUGCCACGGUUGCCAUCGUUGCCACCAAGUAGGUAUGAUAAAAAACCACUAACUCUGCGCCUUUCCCACCAUUGCCACGGUUGCCAUCGUUGCCACCAAGUAGGUAUGAUAAAAAACCACUAACUCUGCGCCUUUCCCACCAUUGCCACGGUUGCCAUCGUUGCCACCAAGUAGGUAUGAUAAAAAACCACUAACUCUGCGCCUUUCCCACCAUUGCCACGGUUGCCAUCGUUGCCACCAAGUAGGUAUGAUAAAAAACCACUAACUCUGCGCCUUUCCCACCAUUGCCACGGUUGCCAUCGUUGCCACCAAGUAGGUAUGAUAAAAAACCACUAACUCUGCGCCUUUCCCACCAUUGCCACGGUUGCCAUCGUUGCCACCAAGUAGGUAUGAUAAAAAACCACUAACUCUGCGCCUUUCCCACCAUUGCCACGGUUGCCAUCGUUGCCACCAAGUAGGUAUGAUAAAAAACCACUAACUCUGCGCCUUUCCCACCAUUGCCACGGUUGCCAUCGUUGCCACCAAGUAGGUAUGAUAAAAAACCACUAACUCUGCGCCUUUCCCACCAUUGCCACGGUUGCCAUCGUUGCCACCAAGUAGGUAUGAUAAAAAACCACUAACUCUGCGCCUUUCCCACCAUUGCCACGGUUGCCAUCGUUGCCACCAAGUAGGUAUGAUAAAAAACCACUAACUCUGCGCCUUUCCCACCAUUGCCACGGUUGCCAUCGUUGCCACCAAGUAGGUAUGAUAAAAAACCACUAACUCUGCGCCUUUCCCACCAUUGCCACGGUUGCCAUCGUUGCCACCAAGUAGGUAUGAUAAAAAACCACUAACUCUGCGCCUUUCCCACCAUUGCCACGGUUGCCAUCGUUGCCACCAAGUAGGUAUGAUAAAAAACCACUAACUCUGCGCCUUUCCCACCAUUGCCACGGUUGCCAUCGUUGCCACCAAGUAGGUAUGAUAAAAAACCACUAACUCUGCGCCUUUCCCACCAUUGCCACGGUUGCCAUCGUUGCCACCAAGUAGGUAUGAUAAAAAACCACUAACUCUGCGCCUUUCCCACCAUUGCCACGGUUGCCAUCGUUGCCACCAAGUAGGUAUGAUAAAAAACCACUAACUCUGCGCCUUUCCCACCAUUGCCACGGUUGCCAUCGUUGCCACCAAGUAGGUAUGAUAAAAAACCACUAACUCUGCGCCUUUCCCACCAUUGCCACGGUUGCCAUCGUUGCCACCAAGUAGGUAUGAUAAAAAACCACUAACUCUGCGCCUUUCCCACCAUUGCCACGGUUGCCAUCGUUGCCACCAAGUAGGUAUGAUAAAAAACCACUAACUCUGCGCCUUUCCCACCAUUGCCACGGUUGCCAUCGUUGCCACCAAGUAGGUAUGAUAAAAAACCACUAACUCUGCGCCUUUCCCACCAUUGCCACGGUUGCCAUCGUUGCCACCAAGUAGGUAUGAUAAAAAACCACUAACUCUGCGACUUUCCCACCAUUGCCACGGUUGCCACCGUUGCCACCGUUGCCACGGUUGCCACCAUUGCCACCAAGUAGGUAUGAUAAAAAACCACUAACUCUGCGACUUUCCCACCAUUGCCACGGUUGCCACGAUUGCCACCAUUGCCACGGUUGCCACCAUUGCCACGGUGGCCAUAUUCAUCAUCCCGGCGAUCUCCAUGAUGAGGAGGGAGUAGUUCUCCAUCGGGGCUGAGGGUAUGUACCAGUAGCUAUGUGUUUGAUCUCUCCCUGUCUCUCGUGUUCUUGAGAUGUCU
rnacentral:lncRNA from 1 species